UACGAAGGGGGCUAGCGUUGUUCGGAGUUACUGGGCGUAAAGGGCGCGUAGGCGGCGCACCAAGUCAGGCGUGAAAGCCCUGGGCUCAACCCGGGAAUUGCGCUUGAGACUGGUGUGCUUGAGUACGGGAGAGGAUAGUGGAAUUCCCAGUGUAGAGGUCAAAUUCGUAGAUAUUGGGAAGAACACCGGUGGCGAAGGCGGCUCACUGGCCCGAAACUGACGCUCAUGCACGACAGCGUGGGGAUCAAACAGG
rnacentral:rRNA from 1 species